rnacentral:rRNA from 1 species
UACGAAGGGGGCUAGCGUUGUUCGGAAUGACUGGGCGUAAAGCGCACGCAGGCGGCGCGUCAAGUCAGAGGUGAAAGGCCCGGGCUCAACCUGGGAACUGCCUUUGAGACUGACGUGCUAGAGACCGAGAGAGGGUAGUGGAAUUCCCAGUGUAGAGGUGAAAUUCGUAGAUAUUGGGAAGAACACCGGUGGCGAAGGCGGCUACCUGGCUCGGUUCUGACGCUCAGGUGCGAAAGCGUGGGGAGCAAACAGGAUUAGAUACCCUGGUAGUCCACGCCGUAAACGAUGCGUGCUAGACGUUGGGGGGCUUGCCCUUCGGUGUCGCAGCUAACGCGAUAAGCACGCCGCCUGGGGAGUACGGCCGCAAGGUUA